GAUGAACGCUGGCGGCGUGCCUAACACAUGCAAGUCGAACGGAAAGACCAUGCUUUUGUGGGUUGCUCGAUUGGCGAGCGCGUGAGUAACACGUGAGUAACAUGCCCUUGACUGUGGGGUAACAUCAGGAGAAUCGGGCUAAUACCGGGUAGGAUCUACUGCUGCGUGGUGUGGGUUGGAAAGAUUCGGCGUUGGGGGCUGGACUCGCGGCUUAUGCGCUUGUUUGUCGGGUAGGGGCUUUCCAAGGCUUUGACGGGUAGCCGGCCUGAGAGCGUGAACGGCCACAUUGCGACUGCGAUACGGACCAGAAGCGUACGGGAGGCAGCAGUGGAGAACAUGGUACAGUGGGCGGAAGCCUGAUGCAGCAACGCCGCGUGCGGGAUGCCGGCCUACGGGUGGUAAACCGCUUUCGCAUGUGACGAAGCGUGAGUGACGGUAAUGGGUCAAGAAGCACCGGCUAACUACGUG
rnacentral:rRNA from 1 species